rnacentral:rRNA from 1 species
GAUGAACGCUGGCGGCGUGCCUAAUACAUGCAAGUCGAGCGAACAGACGAGGAGCUUGCUCCUCUGACGUUAGCGGCGGACGGGUGAGUAACACGUGGAUAACCUACCUAUAAGACUGGGAUAACUUCGGGAAACCGGAGCUAACACCGGAUAAUAUAUUGAACCGCAUGGUUCAAUAGUGAAAGACGGUUUUGCUGUCACUUAUAGAUGGAUCCGCGCCGCAUUAGCUAGUUGGUAAGGUAACGGCUUACCAAGGCAACGAUGCGUAGCCGACCUGAGAGGGUGAUCGGCCACACUGGAACUGAGACACGGCCCAGACUCCUACGGGAGGCAGCAGUAGGGAAUCUUCCGCAAUGGGCGAAAGCUUGACGGAGCAACGCCGCGUGAGUGAUGAAGGUCUUCGGAUCGUAAAACUCUGUUAUUAGGGAAGAACAAAUGUGUAAGUAACUAUGCACGUCUUGACGGUACCUAAUCAGAAAGCCACGGCUAACUACGUG